rnacentral:rRNA from 2 species
GUGACAGGUGGUGCAUGGUUGUCGUCAGCUCGUGUCGUGAGAUGUUGGGUUAAGUCCCGCAACGAGCGCAACCCUUGAUCUUAGUUGCCAGCAUUUAGUUGGGCACUCUAAGGUGACUGCCGGUGACAAACCGGAGGAAGGUGGGGAUGACGUCAAAUCAUCAUGCCCCUUAUGACCUGGGCUACACACGUGCUACAAUGGAUGGUACAAAGGGCUGCAAGACCGCGAGGUCAAGCCAAUCCCAUAAAACCAUUCUCAGUUCGGAUUGUAGGCUGCAACUCGCCUACAUGAAGCUGGAAUCGCUAGUAAUCGCGGAUCAGCAUGCCGCGGUGAAUACGUUCCCGGGCCUUGUACACACCGCCCGUCACACCACGAGAGUUUGUAACACCCGAAGUCGGUGGAGUAACCGUAAGGAGCUAGCCGCCUAAGGUGGGACAGAUGAUUGGGGUG